GCCCAUCGGACAGAUAGAGAGUGACGACGACACUAGCUCACAUAUGAAGUGCAAAGGUUUUCUUCCUUCUUGCAUGUUGGUGUAAAGAGCAGGUAAACCUGCUUGCGCGAUGGUACAAGCAGCAGCAACAGAGGUAUAGGGAAAUUUAUGCGUUCGUGUACUUUCUGUUAAUGGAAUUCUUUUCGAUAUACCAUGUUAUUUUUCUUGUAAAUAAUCAAUUGACAUUUUUCAUACAAUUGCUAAAUGAAAUAGUUUUUGCCAUAGCUUUUUUCAAAAUUCUUCGAAGAGGCCGCCACUAAAUGGCUCCAUGAAUAAAUGGGUGUGAAGUCUUGGAUUCUUGGUUUG
rnacentral:lncRNA from 1 species